CAAUCUGAAAGAAGAGAGCAAGGACUGAGAUGCGUGCUGUUCACAGCGACGACGGUGCGCUGGCACCCUUCCGCCAAGGCUCUAGAGUCCCUACGGGGAGAACCCUCCUCGAGCUGGGGUUCGGGAGCGCUUGGUCCUCUGCAUCAUCUGAAACUCUAUCGAGUAAAGGCAGCAAAACAGCUUCCCAGCAUCUCCAUGCUUGCUUAACUCUGCAGAACAAUCAAGUAUGUCUUGGGAGGCUCCACUUUCUGAAGGAAUGUCAAGUGUGUAUGGAAUUAAAAUACCUAACUCAGAUGAGAAAGAGAGGCUCCAGAGAGGUCAGCUCGUCCUCUGGUUCUGCUCCACGAUCCGCCGCAUGGAAAAGGUGGUCAUCUAGAAGGAUCAUCAAAACGGUUCUGGAACUUUGCGAUGAUUCCGAAAGGGGUGGUGUUUCCUCCCCCUGGAGAAUCUUAGCCUGAGGCUAGAUAAGCUCUCGGCUGGGCUGAUUCAGAUAAGAUCCUGUGAUCAGGAGAGACCCCCCGUGAGCGCCUACCUACUCUGUGGGGACAAACAGGCUGUUCUUUUGGGAGUUGUUUUAUUUUCAACAAGAGUUAAGUAAUUGAAUGAGCAGAACAGCUGGUAUUCCGAUUUUGCUUCUGCGCUGAACUAUGAUACACACACACAUACACACACACACACACACAGGGACAUUAAAAAGAUGCUAUCAUCCCGCUGCCCACCACGAAGUGGGUAAGAGGGCCCCUCCUUACAAGGAACAUGAGUGCAGCUGACAGCGGUGACAUCGGAUGAUCUUAUCAGACCUGGAGCUGGAUGCGCAAACAGGGCCUCUGCACAGUCACGCGCAUCAGAAUGAACUAGAUCUGAGGCCUUGGGUGAAGUCUGAGACAAUGUACUUGCCAUGGAAAAUAUGCAGCUCGAGGAAAGAGCUGCCUUUCAGAAAAGUAGCAGGAGGCUGGUGAAGCCUCCAUAGCAAAUGAGGGGCGUUUGAGGAAGGACAAACCGUAAGACCUUUCAGCUCUCAGGAAGGGAAUAAACAGUUCCGGCCCACCCAUUUAAGAAGAAAAAAAAAAUCCUCCCUAUUUGGCAUCCAAAAUAUUCUCUAUCCCCUUGGGAACAGAAACAGCUUUAGAAGACCUACUAGGAUUUUUUUCUUUUUUCUUUUUUUCUUUUGAAAGAGAAACACAGGGCUUUUCAUUUCCUGACCAGCCCUUUUGCACUCAGGCAGGCCUUGGGGUGCCCUCCGCCUUCCUCCCUGUGAAUCACCCUUCCUCUGGGCCCCCAGGGCCACUCACACACCUUCCUGCCUGGGGAGGAGCAGGCCUUCCAGCUCUCCUGGUGCUGUGCACACAGUAGGUGUUCAGCCCGUGUCCAGGGUGUGGAGGUACAAAGAUAAGCUGCGUGAAGGGUUCUCUCCCCCCGAGUCAGAAGAUGAUGGAAAAGAAAGAAUCAAAGGAUGUUCCACUUCCAUUUCAACCUUUUCUUG